rnacentral:rRNA from 1 species
AGAGUUUGAUCCUGGCUCAGAACGAACGCUGGCGGCGUGGAUAAGACAUGCAAGUCGAGCGCUGAUUACGAGGUAGCAAUAUUUCGUAGUCGGAGCGGCGCAAGGGUGCGUAACACGUGGGUAAUCUGCCAUGAAGUUUGGAAUAACUUGCUGAAAGGCGAGCUAAUGCCGGAUGUGACCGUUGGGAGGCAUCUCUCGAU